rnacentral:rRNA from 1 species
AGGGGUUUGAUCCUGGGCUCAGAGCGAACGCUGGCGGCGUGGUUUAGACAUGCAAGUCGAGCGGAAAGGCCCCUUCGGGGGUACUCGAGCGGCAAACGGGAGAGUAAUACCUGGGUAACCAACCUCGGAGUCGGGAAUAGCCACUGGAAACGGUGGGUAAUGCCCGAUAGUCCUCGCGGGCCACAUGACCUGCGGGGUAAAGGUGAUUCCGCUUCGAGACGGGCCCAGGUCCCAUUAGCUUGUUGGUGGGGUAACGGCCCACCAAGGCUGUGAUGGGUAGCGGGCCUGAGAGGGUGGUCCACCUCACUGGGACUGAGACACUGCCCAGACUCCUACGGGAGGCUGCAGUCGCGAAUCAUUGGCAAUGCGCGAAAGCGUGACCAUGCAACGCCGCGUGGGCGAUGAAGGCCUUCGGGUUGUAAAGCCCUGUCAGGGGUGAGGAAAGCUGCGGGUCCACUCGCAGUUGACUCCAGCCCCAGAGGAAGUCACGGCUAACUCCGUGCCAGCAGCCGCGGUAAGACGGAGGUGGCAAGCGUUGCUCGGAAUCACUGGGCUUAAAGGGCGCGUAGGCGGUGGAUGAAGUCGGAUGUGAAAGCCCUCGGCUUAACCGAGGAACUGCAUCCGAUACUGGUCCGCUAGAGUGCGGGAGGGGAGAGUGGAACUCCAGGUGUAGCGGUGAAAUGCGUANAUAUCUGGAGGAACGCCGGUGGCGAAAGCGACUCUCUGGCCCGCAACUGACGCUGANGGCGCGAAAGCCAGGGUAGCGAACGGGAUAGAUACCCCGGUAGUCCUGGCCCU